UAAGGUGGUUACAGCGGUGGGGCUCACCUCUUCCCAUUCCGAACAGAGCAGUUAAGCCCACCAGCGCAGAUGGUACUACGAAAGUGGGAGAGUAUGUCGCCGCCUUCU
rfam:Zhouia amylolytica AD3 51.P278.1_1, whole genome shotgun sequence.